rnacentral:lncRNA from 1 species
CUCUUCUCGCACUGCCCCUCCGUGGUCGGGGGCCGGCUCUCGCCGGCGGGAUGCGCCUCGGUGCCCUGGGCCCGAGUCGUAGGGUCCUGGGGUAGGGGGCACGCGGGGCCCCGCUGCAGAGCCCGCGGGCGGCAGGUGGGCGGGGGGCAGCCUCGUCGCCGGGACUGGAUCCGCCGGGAAAGGGGCGGCGGGUGAAUGCCGGCGAGAGCCCGAAGGGGAUCGGGCGUGGAGAGCCCCUUUCUGUCCUGGUGACUUAAGAGAUUAAAAUUAAUUUGGUUGCUGUUGGUUCUGAACAAAUAAUGAGUUCUUUUAUUUGAGGUAUGCCAUUUUGAAGACUGAGACGUUGGAGUUUUAUCCUAGAGGAUAAAGGAAAUCUUUGGGAAAGUCAGUAUUUUAUAUAGCAAAAAUAUGAACCUCAAACUGAAUCCUCUAAAGGCCCCAUACAAUGAAGUAGACAUUGGUGGAAACAUUUACACCCAGUCAGCUUGAAGAGUUUCAAAUGGACCCUACCACUGAGAAAUCAAGAUGGCAGUCUACUAUGGGGAAUUGAGGAAAAAUGGAUUAAUACAAGAGUCCUGUGAUAAUAUACAACCAAGACAGGGUUCUUUUAACAUGGAUUCCAUGCAGUGAAUGAAGACAUAGGUUUCUUACCCAACACAAAUGGACAGUGGAUUUGACUUUCUAAAGACUUUUUUUGUGGACAUUUUGACAUUUGGAGAAGAAAGAUGGCACACUAACCCAGAUAAUAGUUUUUAUGCCUGGAAUUUUUUGCAGUUUGAUUUGUAUGCGUAUGACCUCUUGAAAUGUUAAUUUUUAAUAAAAUUUGUAACACUUAAAAAUUUCUCAGUUUGGGUUUUUUUUUUUAAGUGGAAGUUUAAUUAAAUGUUUAGUUUUAUUUUAGUAAUACUUUGGCCUUUGUAGUUGCCGAGUGGUAAAGUGUACUGAAUAUGAAUAAAGCUGGUAAAUUGGAAAUGGUGUAAUCGAAAACAUUUUACUUGGUUUAUGAAGAUUUACGUUUUUCACAAAGUUGUGCUCUUAGAUGGUCAUUUGGUUUAAAUACUGUUUUGUUUGUGCUUUCAUGAAACACCUUUCAAAACAACUCAAUGGGUAAUAAUAGAAUCUGAUUUUAAUCUGCCACAAGAUUUUAAUGAACUUGAAACAAACUGCUUGUUGCUCGAAAAUUCAGGAUGAGUGAUACACAUAUACUUCUGAAUUAUUUUGUGUUGAUUGAAAUGGUUUCUUAAGCUUUUUAAUACUAUAAAUACAUCUUGCUAUAGAAUAUUCAUCUGAAUAUUUAAAUUAAUGUCUCCUAUUGUCUUACUAUUAGAGGAAGAAGUGUUGGAUUUAUGGGUUAGGGUCCUUGGAGUAUUCACAAUUUUUUAAAUUUGAAAUUAUGUGUGUAAUCCAUUUUAUAUAACUUUGAAGUAGGAUUAAUAUCUUGUAUCGUCUUUAUUUUGUACAAUUGGGGAUUUAGAAUAAAUGAAUUGCACCCUGCCA